rnacentral:rRNA from 1 species
AGAAAGACUUAGGACUGUACCCGACGCACAUAAGCCCCGAGCAUAACUACGUUGCCAUGUACGCCGCGCGGGUAAGAACUGCUAGGCGGGACAAGCUGGUUGAUCCUCGGAAUUGUAACUUGGAGCGGGUAGAACGCCCGCGACCGAUAAGCGCGGGGUCACUGCUUUAAUGGNGACAUCAAAUGUUGAAAAUAGCUUCAUCUCGNGACAUCCAANCNCAUAUAGACACAAUCUUGCCUNNUGUAGCANUAUCGAUAGGGCGAGAGAGCGCUUGCGUAAGGGAGGAACUGACANGNGACGCGCUUCCUUGCUCGCGAACAAUAUGCGCAUGGAGCUCGUUGAAAACAGAGCUAGGAAAUAGUUGUUGGCAUUGGAGUCAUUGCUACGGGUACGAGGACAUCCAGCCCGCCACUGGGGGCAGGAGAUGGGUCAACGGCGAUGUAACAUUGUGCGCCGGCUCUAUACCCGUAGGACCGGCCAUAGCACGCCGUCCGGCUGCACAUAGGUCGGUUUGAGCGCUAAGCCGAAAGAUCAAAGAGGAUUCUGAGGGACUAACCUCCCAUCGAGAUGAAGGUACCCCAGCCGCCGCGCUUGAUAAAACGGCACUGGGGAAGUGAACAUGAGUUGGCGGGUGCAGUGGGAGUGGUUCCUACAGGAUUCCACGCCCACUCGGGGCUUGCCUCUGACCGGAGGAUAGAGCGGGCCCUUUUCCAACGAUCAAUUCGCCCUGACCCCUAGUGGGGGGACACGUCAACAGCGAACCAGGCGGGACGAGGUCUGGAAUAACGCUGCUGGAAAGUGGUGGGUACGGCAACAGAGUGCGCCAAACACAGAAAUUCACACGUUCGCCUGCCGAGGUAGUCCAGUGAGUUUUGCCAUGUGUCCUUGUCCAAAGUUUCCGUAAACUCGGGGAAUGGGAAAAGAGGUCGUGGACACCUCAGGCUUUUGUGUAAACAACCGGCGCAGGGGGUCAAGGGGGUUAAUUACAGUGGCGGGUUUCGGAGAGCUCACCGGUUUUUCCCCCCGAGGG